UCUAAAACUUCCUCCUUUUUUUUUCCACUUGAUAUGUGCUUCUUUGUGAUAAAUACACAAAUAAAUUGCCUAUAGAAUUAUGUGUUUCUUGGUUUUGGGAAUCAGAAUUGCUUGAAUUAAUCAUUCAAUUUUUACACAAAGAUGCUUCAACCAUGGUUUUGGUUGCAUGGCACGUCUGUCAUGUCUAAUCCUCAUUCAAAUAGAUCUACCUGCUGCUUUAUUUCUCCAAACCAACGUGUAAUCUUGUCGUUAUACUAAUUCUGUUGGACAGAUACAUUUUCUUGUAUGAGACUAUAACAAGAUCAAAGUUUGAGGUGCUGUCGUCUGAGGAGCCAAUACAUGAGCGAAUAUCACGAAAUGUUGCAUCUGCACUGGCAUCUUUGAAGUAGCCUAGGAAUGUCAGGACUUUUUCAAUUCUGUGUUCUAUAAACCCCUUUCUAAGGAUAUAUUUAAAACUUACAAGUAGCAGAAAUUCUACCAAGAAGUUUUUUUAAAUAAAAGAAAUUAUAUAAAUAAAGCUUAAAACCUAAAGACAGAUGAACAUUUAACUCUCAUAGAAAUCAUGCUUGGUCUUUGCCAAUUGCACCAUGUAUUUAACUUGUAUACUUGUCAACCAAACCGAUGUCUUUGGCACACAUUGUUACUGAAUAAUGAAUGAUGAAUAUUUCAUUAACUUAUGUCACAUUGUUCUGGAUCUUUCUUUCUUCUUAUACUCUCUCUCCUCACAUGAAGUCUCAGAAUAUUGCUCUGCUUCUUUGCUUGGUAAUAUGACUAUGAUUAAUCAUCUUUGUAGUUUAGGGAAUUUUUUUAUCUUAAUUUUUAAGGUUAAAUAGGCAUAUUUUGAAGGAUAUCAAAGCCAUCCUUCUUUUUCGGGUAUUGAUAUCAAAGUCAUCUCUAUCCAAUUAGUUUUCCUUUUGGAUUAACAAAUUAAUUGAGAAGACAAAAAGAUGGAAGGAGAUCAGUGAAGUUAAUAGGAUUUUGGGGUAGUCCAGCUGUUCUAAGAGUGAAGUGGGCACUAGCAGUUAAAGGAAUAGAGUGCCAAUAUGUGGAAGAAGAUCUCAGCAACAAGAGUGACAUGCUCCUUAAAUACAACACUGUCUACAAAAAGGUACCUGUUCUUGUGCACCAGGGUAAGCCCCUUGCUGAAUCACUGCUCAUUCUUGAUUAUAUUGAUGAGACUUGGAAGCAAAAUACUCUUCUUCCACAUUCUCCUUAUGAAAGGGCCCAGGCAAGAUUCUGGUCCAAAUUCGUUGAUGACAAGGUAAGAGAGUUGCAGCACCAUAUUUAGUAUCAAUCAUUUAUAGAACUGAGAAAAAUGGUCUUAGAGACUAUUAUGAAUUAUCAAAUCCUCUGAAUUAUUUAUUUACUAAAAACACUGAAAGCAUUUAUUUUUAGUAAAGAUAUAUUCAGACACAAAAUAUAGAUUGGGACGUUUCUCCCAUGGUGAACCAGGUGUCAUACAGACUAUCUGCCGGCUCAUUCAAGUCGACCACGUACUAUGCCUGAUAAUCCGUUGCCUGAACCUGGAUCUCUGGCAUCUGUGCAUGGUGAGCUGGGGCAUCGGACUGGAUCUCUGGCAUUUGUGGAUGGUAAGCAGGUGCAUCAGCCUGGACCUGGGGAUGUUUGGCAUCUAUGUCCGUCAUCAUGCUUUGCCCUUUAAUGCUUCACAUACUAUGUAUAACAAUUCUUUGGAGUUAAUUUUCACUGACAUAUGGGAGCCAUCUCCAAUCAUCUCUAGAAAUAGAAUGAGAUGUUAUAUUAGUUUUGUAGAUAUUUCAAUUAAGUAUACUUUUGUAUAUUUCCUAACUAAUAAGUCACAGGCACUUAAUGUCUUUCAAACUUUUCGAAAUCAGAUUGAAACCCUUACUGACCACAAGAUUAAAGCCUUACAAAUGGAUAAUGGUGGAGUUUGUGUCAAAUUCUUUCACUACCUUCUUAUCUCGGCAUGGUAUACAUACAACAUAGACUUUUUUGUCCCUAUACACACUAAAAACAGGAUAUUGUAAAGAGGAGACACCGAAGUAUUGUUGAGAUUGGCUUAUCUUUAUUGGCAACAUCCUCCAUUUCUAUAAAAUUUUGGGAGGAUGCUUUUGGAACUGCUGUUUACUUGAUGAAUCGGCUACCUACUAUUGUGCUUAACUACACCUUUCCAUAUGAAAAAUUAUAUCAAAGAAAACUAGAUUAGUUUGAUAAAUGUCUUUGGGUGUUCUUGCUUUCCUUAACUAAGACCAUACAAUAAGCAUAAACUUGAAUAUAGUUAUGAGAAAUGUCUCUUCCUUGGUUAUGAUUCUCAAUUUUGUGGAUAUAAGUGUAUGAAUAAAAAUGGAAAGGUGUAUAUGAUUCUCUUCCACAAAAUGAGUUGUUUUUAAAUCACUCUAGCUACAAUACUAACACUAAUUCUGCAGCUAUGAAUUCUAUAGCUUCUUAUUACAGUGUGUCUUCCAUUUCCACACAUCAAUUUGUGCCUACUUCACAAAAUCAAAGUUCACCACAUGAUGUGACAACUAAUUCUCUACCAAUUGAAGAGACUUUAGGUGGAAGUGGAUCAACUCAAUAUAUAAAUCAUGAGCACAUAUCACAAGACAGUACCUCACGUAGUGCUUCUCAGGGGGCUAUUGACCAAAGACUUGAUUUCCACUCAAUUCAACAUCAACAACCCACCACAAGCACACACAAGAUGGUAACACGGUCUAAACUUGGUAUUUACAAACCAAAAGCAUAUUAUGCACAUAAUGAGAUUGAUCUAUUUCAACAAAUACCAAAAUAGUCACACAAGCAAUCCAAACUCCUCAUUGGAAGGAUGCUAUGGAUGCUGAGUUCAGGGUAUUAAACCAAUGCAAUAUGUGGACUUUAGUUAAUUCACCACCCAAUGCAAACAUAAUUGGAAGCAAGUGGGUAUUCGCUAUCAAAAGAAAUACAAAAGGAGAGCUAGUAAGAUACAAAGCUCGUCUAGUUUUUGCAUCAGUCGAAGGCAUAGAGUAUGAGCAAAUUUACUCACCUGUAAUAAGACCCUCUUCAGCAAGGAUUGUUUUGACUUCAGCUAUCACUCAAGGAUGGGUCUUGCAUCAAUUUGAUUUUAAUAACACAUUUUUAAAUGAAGUUUUGAUUGAGCAGAUUUUUAUGACACAGCCACAAGGUUAUGAGGAUUCGAAUCCUAACCUUGUUUGCAAGUUGAAUAGAGCAUUAUACGGUUGAAAACAGGCACCGAGGGCCUAGUAUCUCACAUUAAGGGACACAUUGAUAAGGUUUGGGUUUGUAAGUACUCACUCUGAUGUAUCAUUGUUUGUAAGAAAACUGCAAAAUCAGUAAUUUACAUGCUUAUAUAUGUCGAUAACAUAGUGGUAACAGGAAAUAAUUCAAGUGAAAUUCAGUACUUAAUACAAUAAUUAAACAAAAUCUUUCCUCUUAAAGACCUUGGAAAUCUUAGUUUCUUCCUUGGAAUAGAAUUCACACAUUUGCAGGGUGGAAAAUUUCAUUUGUCACAAAAGAAAUAUGCUUUAGAGAUUCUUCGAAAAGCAAACAUGGAAAAUGCAAGCGAGAUGCCUACACCAAAGGUGGCAAACUUGAAGCUCUAUGCAAAUGACUCCGACCCGUGUCAUGAUCUGCAACAGUAUCACUCUAUAGUAGGAGCUCUUCAAUAUUUGACAAUGGCACGGCCUGACCUUGCAUUCUUUGUGAAUAGGGUGUCACAGUUCAUGCAUAACCCAACAUACAAUCCCUGGAAGGCUGUGAAAAGAAUCUUGCGGUACCUGAAAGGAACGGGACAAACCUCAUCUCAUGGAAGUGUCACAAGCAGUCAAAAGUGAGUCAUAGUAGCAGUGAGGUAAAAUAUUGUGGCCUUACGUCUGUGCAGUCAGAGAUGGUCUCUUUGCAGCAGCUUCUUACUGAGCUUGGAGUUCCACAAUUGGUAGUGCCAACGAUCUACUGCGACAAUUAGAGCGCUGUACAUUAGCAGCAAAUCCAGUACUUUACAGCCGGUGCAAACAUCUGGAAUUAGACCAACAUUCGUUGAGGGAAAUGGUUAAUAAGAAGGAAUUAUAUGUAGUUAACAUUCCUGUCCUUGAUCAGAUAGUAGAUGUAUUAACAAAACCAUUAUCUGCCAGAUUAUUUGAUGGUUUUAAAGUCAAAUUUCGGGUCAGCAAUUUACUUCCCCAAAGUUUGAGGGGGGUGUAAGUGAUAUAAAUGAAGUAGGAUAGCAGUAAUUAGAAAAUCAAGAUCAAGAAGUGUUUGUUGAGGUUGUUACUUUAAGUACACAAUAUUAUUGUACACAACUCUGCAUUUAUAUAAUGCAGAAGUACUUGGCCUUGUAAACACGUUAAUUCUCUGCAUCUAGUGCAAUUGAUAUUCAGUUCUUUACUUUUCUCUGAGUUUACUCAAAACGUGUUAUCAAUAUCAUGUUUAGUUUAAGAUAAAUAUAGAGACUGAAUAGUAGAUUUGUAAUUUAAAAAGUUAAAUGAGAGUAUUUUUGAAAAAAAAAAUGUUAUAAAAGUUUCAAUCUUCGUCCCCGGAAAUUUUAGUCCCGUAUGUCCCAACUUUCUGGAGGUAUUAAAGGGACUGAAAUUUUGUGUCGGAACUGAAAUUUUAUUUCUAAUCUCUAGUCACCAAACACAAUACUCAGUCCCCAAUCUCAAUCCCAGUUUUAGGAAACAAACGCAAUCUAAAAAUAUUAAAAAAGAAAAAACUAUUAUUUAUGAGCUGCGUUUGACCUUGUGAUAUUGAUAUUUACCAUUUUUCAUGACUAAGCUCGUGGUUCCUCUUUAUUAAUAUGGAGAGAAUUUUGUGAAUGACAAUAAAGAGAUACUACAUUACAUAAAUGACAGUGUUAAGAAGUUUUUUUUUCCCUAGAUGUUAACUUGGUGAAUUUUUUUUAUUUGAAGUAACUUUUUAAAGAUAUUAGUUAUCAUGCAUACAAACAAAUAUACUGAUUUAACCCGAAAGCUAUUUACCUUGAAUUCCGGAUUUCACACUAUCUAUGGAGACAAGGAGAUUAAAAAAAUGUGUGACAACAAGAAGGAGAACAAGGAUAGAGAUGAGCUUUAUUUAUUUUUCGAUCAUUAUAUUUUAAAUAAUGUGAUCUUAAGUAGUAGUGAAGAAGAAAACAAUAGUAAAACUAGAGAUGAUAACGUUGUAGAUAUGGAAUUUUCUAAUGUUGCAAUUUCUCAUGAAAUAUAGGCCUCCACUUUUAAGUUUUAAGGAGGAUGAUAGUGAAGAAGUCACAAUGUGCAAUUUUUUUCCCAAUAAGGCUGCAAGUAAUUAAAACAACAUCAGGUUCUCCAAGACUUGAAUAUCACUUCAAUUCAACUAACGAAAGGUUCAAUUCAAUCAAUAACAUUAUUACCUUGAAUUAAGGACAACUAAAGAAU